AACAGUUGUACUCUUAAAAUCUGUUGUCUCUUCACAUCACUAUCCUAGCAUUUCAAACGACAACAGUUUCUAAAAAACUUUCUUUCUUUUGUUAUCUAUUUUCUCUGUAGGUCUUCCAUGAAACUACCUCAAUCCGUAUGUCUCAGCCACCUUUUUUCCAGUUCACAACAAACGUAGUCUGAUACAGCUCCGAUUAGGUACUAUCCUUUUCCCCUUUUCAACGCUUCAUGUGCAAGAGUAUGGGCACAUUCAUUCUCCAAUCUAUGAACGAACUGGAAAUCAAUCUCUUAAAAAUGAACCUUUUUGCUUUGAAUGUCUCUGAUGAGUGCCCCAAUAACUGAUUUAUCUAGAUCUGUAGAUUGGCAUUUCUUUAUUACCAUUCUUGAAUCCUCCACAAUUGCUAAUGAGUUAAAUCCCAUUGAGAUUCCUAAUUGAAUGGUUUGUAAUCCUGCAAGUGCUUUUGCUGCAAACAGAGAUGAUAUUGCGCUAUGCAUGACUAUUUUCGAGGCCAAAAUCUCGCCCAUGAAGUUUGGAACUACCAGUCCCGAAGUCGAUCUGGAGGACCGUUUGUCGAAGGCUGCAUCAAAGUAAAUUGUCACCCUCAUAUUUCUUUCGGGUCGUAUGUGUCCUGUAUCAAC
rnacentral:lncRNA from 1 species